rnacentral:rRNA from 1 species
GACGAACGUUGGCGGCGUGCUUAACACAUGCAAGUCGAACGGAAAGGCCCUGCUUUUGUGGGGUGCUCGAGUGGCGAACGGGUGAGUAACACGUGAGUAACCUGCCCUUGACUUUGGGAUAACUUCAGGAAACUGGGGCUAAUACCGGAUAGGAGCUCCUGCUGCAUGGUGGGGGUUGGAAAGUUUCGGCGGUUGGGGAUGGACUCGCGGCUUAUCAGCUUGCUGGUGGGGUAGUGGCUUACCAAGGCUUUGACGGGUAGCCGGCCUGAGAGGGUGACCGGCCACAUUGGGACUGAGAUACGGCCCAGACUCCUACGGGAGGCAGCAGUGGGGAAUAUUGCACAAUGGGCGGAAGCCUGAUGCAGCAACGCCGCGUGCGGGAUGACGGCCUUCGGGUUGUAAACCGCUUUCGCCUGUGACGAAGCGUGAGUGACGGUAAUGGGUAAAGAAGCACCGGCUAACUACGUGCCAGCAGCCGCGGUGAUACGUAGGGUGCGAGCGUUGUCCGGAUUUAUUGGGCGUAAAGGGCUCGUAGGUGGUUGAUCGCGUCGGAAGUGUAAUCUUGGGGCUUAACCCUGAGCGUGCUUUCGAUACGGGUUGACUUGAGGAAGGUAGGGGAGAAUGGAAUUCCUGGUGGAGCGGUGGAAUGCGCAGAUAUCAGGAGGAACACCAGUGGCGAAGGCGGUUCUCUGGGCCUUUCCUGACGCUGAGGAGCGAAAGCGUGGGGAGCGAACAGGCUUAGAUACCCUGGUAGUCCACGCUGUAAACGGUGGGUACUAGGUGUGGGGUCCAUUCCACGGGUUCCGUGCCGUAGCUAACGCUUUAAGUACCCCGCCUGGGGAGUACGGCCGCAAGGCUAAAACUCAAAGGAAUUGACGGGGCCCCGCACAAGCGGCGGAGCAUGCGGAUUAAUUCGAUGCAACGCGUAGAACCUUACCUGGGUUUGACAUGGAUCGGGAGUGCUCAGAGAUGGGUGUGCCUCUUUUGGGGUCGGUUCACAGGUGGUGCAUGGCUGUCGUCAGCUCGUGUCGUGAGAUGUUGGGUUAAGUCCCGCAACGAGCGCAACCCUUGUUCACUGUUGCCAGCACGUUAUGGUGGGGACUCAGUGGAGACCGCCGGGGUCAACUCGGAGGAAGGUGGGGAUGACGUCAAGUCAUCAUGCCCCUUAUGUCCAGGGCUUCACGCAUGCUACAAUGGCUGGUACAGAGAGUGGCGAGCCUGUGAGGGUGAGCGAAUCUCGGAAAGCCGGUCUCAGUUCGGAUUGGGGUCUGCAACUCGACCUCAUGAAGUCGGAGUCGCUAGUAAUCGCAGAUCAGCAACGCUGCGGUGAAUACGUUCCCGGGGCU